GCUUGAGAUGUAAUCCGAGUUUUCCCCUCCAUACCCACCAGCCGCUGCUCACCGCUUUGCUCUUCCUUCUUUUCAAGCAGGUGGGCUGGGUGCCUUGGGAGACAAGCAUGUCAGCAGAAAGCAAGGACAAAGGAAUAGCUUCUUGGAUUUUGGUGUAAAAGCUCAGCCCUCAGUAGGGUAAAAUCAGAAGGAUUUGGGAAGAAACAUGCUGAGUGAGAGCUGGGCCGCUCUGGAGGACCCCAUGCGGUCUGCAACAGGGACUGUCCUGGUUGGGCUGCCCUUCCUUCAGGCUGGGUGCUGCCGUCCCCUCCCCCCCCGCACGCUGACACACACGCACGCACACAUGCGCACUCUGCGUGCUUGCACCAGGCGGAGGGAGAAAGACCCUUCUACCUCUGCGCCUCGAUGGUACUGACUGCAGCCGGCUGAAACGCAUGCACGGGCCUCUCUGGAGGGCCGCUCCAAGAGACGAGUUGCGAGACUGGCCACACAGCAGGAAUGCAGGCCUUGCUCUGAGCCGGGUCACACGCUGAACGGACCGGUGUCCCCGACCAUGCCGGCACCGUGUUUACCGCGAGUCCUCGGGGCCGGCAGGGCGUCUGCGCGUGAGAGAGGCAGCCAUUGUGUGAUUGGCUGAGUGCAAGUACACCUGUAAGGGAAGGGAGGGACGGGGGCACUUCCCCCAAAACUGAACCCAGCGGACUACAGGUAUGGAAAGGAACCUUUCUCCCACUUUCUGACUCUCAGGGAGAAGGGAUCAUGAUGUCAGCAGAAACGUGGCUGUCUGAGAGGACUACCCUGGGAGCAGCCGCCACAUGCUCACGUGGCCGUCCGGGGACGGCUGCAGCCGUGCUGGGCCGCGAGGCUCCUGCGCCAUCCGGCUGUGCUCCCUGUCAGAAGAAAGAGUGACGUGCUGGGGGACCGGGCAUUUCUGCAGGGAGAAGACGCCGCUGAAAACCAGCUCUGACUGGCUCUGUGUUACAGAACUUGUACAAAAGCAUAAAAAGGAAGACUGCUGUUCAGCAUCCCCUCUACUCACAGCUGUCCCUUGACUUCUGGGUGCACCUUGCACUCGCCCUGGACCAUCAGCACCUGCGGGGACAGGGACCCAACACUGCUCCUCGCAGGCCACUGGUUCUGGCCAAGCUGGAGGCUGGACGGUGCCUGAGGGAAAAUCUAGCGAGAGGACAGCCCUGCAAGGGAAGCAGUUCUCAGCGCUGCUUCCCCUCCUGCUCCCAGCUGUGGUGUGCACGGGCCACGGCAUCGCAAAGCUCAGAGGCAGUUCCACGCAGUGUCCUCCACGGAGGGCUCCCAGGAUUGGGCAGACAGAGGUCCCGCCUCCCAGGGAGUCCUGCUGCCUGGAGGUCUGCUCGGCUGCACGCACCCGUCCGCCUCCAGACGCUCGCACCGUGUCUGAGGGGAAGUCGAAUGAGAAGCUCUCUGUUAAGUACUCAGGACACUCCCAGCUCAUGGGUUAAUUUAAGGAACAUGAGCUGGAGGAAGGCAGUCACUGACUCUGUUGCCAUAACACGGGGUAUGUGAUGGGUACUUGGUAAGCAUGGGCUGGGUACACUGAGUGAACUAAGAAAUUAUUUUUUUAGAGAUCACAACCACGUUGUUGUUCAGGAAUAGCCCUGCCCAGCUCUUUUCCCAGGUUCAGUGUCCACUCUCUUUUCUGUAACAUGUACCUUUCAGUCUCGGGAACCCAGUUAGCUCCUAAUUGGACCCCAUUUUUUUUUAAAGAUUUUAUUUAUUUAUUUGACAGAGAGAGACAGCCAGUGAGAGAGGGAA